AGUAAUCAGGAAUCCAGAUUUCUCGGAGUAUCUUCCAAAUGGGGAAAUUUUUAAGGUAUCCAUUGUGCUUUCAAAAUCAUUAGUUGUUUCGGGUCUUCAAAACAAGUGUGGGGUUUUAGAUCAUUACUAAUUCUAGAUAAAACUCCAGUUGAUCUUGUACCUCACCAUGCAAAAUCUGCUAUACAAUAAUAUGAAAUCUAUUGUACUCCAUGGGCGUUACAACACUGGAAAUUUAAUGUGACUCUAAAUUAGACAAAUCUUUUGCUUUAGUUGGUCCUAAAUAAUUCAGUGCAUUGUAAAAAUGCUAAAUGUACCACAAAGAUGAAACUUCUAUGAUACUUCAUUUUGCCCAAAGUUAAAAGAGAUUUUAAGACAGUGGAAAUAUAUAG